CCUACGGGGAGCUGCAGUAGGGAAUCUUCCACAAUUGGCUAAAGCCUUAUUGAUCAACUCCUCGUUGUUGAAGAAGGUCUUCGGACCGUAAAACCCUGUUGUUAGAGAAGAAAGUGCGUGAGAGUAACUGUUCACGUUUCGACGGUAUCUAACCAGAAAGCCACGGCUAACUACGUGCCAGCAGCCGCGGUAAUACGUAGGUGGCAAGCGUUAUCCGGAUUUAUUGGGCGUAAAGGGAACGCAGGCGGUCUUUUAAGUCUGAUGUGAAAGCCUUCGGCUUAACCGGAGUAGUGCAUUGGAAACUGGGAGACUUGAGUGCAGAAGAGGAGAGUGGAACUCCAUGUGUAGCGGUGAAAUGCGUAGAUAUAUGGAAGAACACCAGUGGCGAAAGCGGCUCUCUGGUCUGUAACUGACGCUGAGGUUCGAAAGCGUGGGUAGCAAACAGGAUUAGAUACCCGGGUAGUC
rnacentral:rRNA from 1 species